rnacentral:rRNA from 1 species
GAUGAACGCUAGCUACAGGCUUAACACAUGCAAGUCGAGGGGCAUCAGUUUGGUUUGCUUGCAAACCAAAGCUGGCGACCGGCGCACGGGUGAGUAACACGUAUCCAACCUGCCUCAUACUCGGGGAUAGCCUUUCGAAAGAAAGAUUAAUAUCCGAUAGCAUAUAUUUCCCGCAUGGGUUUUAUAUUAAAGAAAUUCGGUAUGAGAUGGGGAUGCGUUCCAUUAGUUUGUUGGCGGGGUAACGGCCCACCAAGACUACGAUGGAUAGGGGUUCUGAGAGGAAGGUCCCCCACAUUGGAACUGAGACACGGUCCAAACUCCUACGGGAGGCAGCAGUGAGGAAUAUUGGUCAAUGGACGCGAGUCUGAACCAGCCAAGUAGCGUGAAGGAUGACUGCCCUAUGGGUUGUAAACUUCUUUUAUAUGGGAAUAAAGUGGUCCACGUGUGGAUUUUUGUAUGUACCAUAUGAAUAAGGAUCGGCUAACUCCGUGCCAGCAGCCGCGGUAAUACGGAGGAUCCGAGCGUUAUCCGGAUUUAUUGGGUUUAAAGGGAGCGUAGGCGGAUUGUUAAGUCAGUUGUGAAAGUUUGCGGCUCAACCGUAAAAUUGCAGUUGAUACUGGCAGUCUUGAGUGCAGUAGAGGUGGGCGGAAUUCGUGGUGUAGCGGUGAAAUGCUUAGAUAUCACGAAGAACUCCGAUUGCGAAGGCAGCUCACUGGAGUGUAACUGACGCUGA